GGACAUACACAUAAAAGGUUAUAAAUAAGGAAUGAGUGAAAAUAAAGACGGCAGAAAUUAAACUAAAAACCUAAGACUGUAGUGAAUUUAUAUAACAAGGUGUAAAAAUAUGUAUGAUUCCGUUUUAAUAUAUAUACAUACAUGAGAGAAAGGGUGUCUAAGAACCUCAACAAGGUCAUUAAAGAA